AAGGGCGGGGUGCCUUAUGCAUGCAAGUCGUACGGUCCCGAUUUAUCGGGAUAGUGGCAAACGGGUGAGUAACGCGUAAGUAACCUAUCCCUAAGUAGGGAAUAACUCUGAGAAAUUGGAGCUAAUACCUUAUGUGGCGGUGUUGGUAAAGCAGCAUCACUAAAGCCUUCGGGUGCUUGGGGAGGGGCUUGCGUCCGAUUAGCUAGUUGGUAGGGUAAUGGCUUACCAAGGCGAUGAUCGGUAGCUGGUCUGAGAGGACGGUCAGCCACACUGGGACUGAGAUACGGCCCAGACUCCUACGGGAGGCAGCAGCAAGGAAUUUUGGGCAAUGGGCGAAAGCCUGACCCAGCGACACCGCGUGGGGGAAGAAGGCCCUUGGGUUGUAAACCCCUUUUCUCAGGGAAGAAUAAUGACGGUACCUGAGGAAUAAGUCUCGGCUAACUACGUGCCAGCAGCCGCGGUAAUACGUAGGAGGCAAGCGUUAUUCGGAUUUACUGGGCGUAAAGAGGGCGCAGGU
rnacentral:rRNA from 1 species